rnacentral:rRNA from 1 species
CCUACGGGAGGCAGCAGUGAGGAAUAUUGGUCAAUGGGCGGAAGCCUGAACCAGCCAAGUAGCGUGCAGGAUGACGGCCCUACGGGUUGUAAACUGCUUUUAUACGGGAAUAACGCGCCUUACGUGUAGGGCUUUGCAUGUACCGUAUGAAUAAGGACCGGCUAAUUCCGUGCCAGCAGCCGCGGUAAUACGGAAGGUCCGGGCGUUAUCCGGAUUUAUUGGGUUUAAAGGGAGCGUAGGCCGCAUGUCAAGCGUGCUGUGAAAUGUCCGGGCUCAACCCCAUCCAGCCGUUGAAACUGGGGAUCUAGAGUGUGCGAGAGGUAUGCGGAAUGCGUGGUGUAGCGGUGAAAUGCAUAGAUAUCACGCAGAACCCCGAUUGCGAAGGCAGCAUACCGGUGCACAACUGACGCUCAGGCACGAAAGCGUGGGUAUCGAACAGGAUUAGAUACCCUGGUAGUC